AUUGAACGCUGGCGGCAGGCCUAACACAUGCAAGUCGAGCGAGCGGCGGACGGGUGAGUAAUGUAUGGGGACUGCCCGAUAGAGGGGGAUAACUACUGGAAACGGUGGCUAAUACCGCAUACUAUCGGAUAACCCAUAUGGGAUUAGCUAGUAGGUGGGGUAAAGGCUCACCUAGGCGACGAUCCCUAGCAGGUCUGAGAGGCUGAUCGGCCACACUGGGACUGAGACACGGCCCAGACUCCUACGGAGGCAGCAGUGGGGAAUAUUGCACAAUGGGCGAAAGCCUGAUGCAGCAAUGCCGCGUGUAUGAAGAAGGCCUUAGGGUUGUAAAAUACUUUCAGUGGGGAGGCGGUACCCACAGAAAAAGCACCGGCUAACUCCGUGCCAGCAGCCGCGGUAAUAC
rnacentral:rRNA from 1 species